rnacentral:rRNA from 1 species
CCUACGGGUGGCAGCAGUGGGGAAUAUUGCACAAUGGGGGAAACCCUGAUGCAGCAACGCCGCGUGAGUGAAGGAGCUUUUCGGCGCGUAAAGCCCUGUCAGCGGGGAAGAAAAAAGACGGUACCCGACCAAGAAGCCCCGGCUAACUACGUGCCAGCAGCCACGGUCAUACGUAGGGGGCGAGCGUUAUCCGGAAUUACUGGGUGUAACGGGAGCGUAGCCGGCGAGGUAAGUCUGAAGUUGAAUCACGCGGCCCAACCGCGGAACUGCUUUGGGAACUGUUUUGCUGGAGUAUGGGAGGGGUAAGCGGAAUUCCUGGUGUAGCGGUGAAAUGCGUAGAUAUCAGGAGGAACACCGGUGGCGAAGGCGGCUUACUGGAGCAUAACUGACGUUGAGGCUCGAAAGCGUGGGGAGCGAACAGGAUUAGAUACCCGAGUAGUC